ACGACCGGCCACCUUUGUCUCCCCAGUGGAGUUGUUUACACACCGCACCAGGUAGGCAUUUCAGACUAAGUAGACCUAGGUGCUCGGGGAUAAUCGUCACAGCUGUUAAGGCACAUUCACAUGCACACAGACAAAGAUCCCUCACAUAGCUUUAACAGACUAUUGGGGCGAGUGCAGCUAGCGAACAACAAUGAAGGCCGACACGGCACACAAGAGGGUGGGUGGCCAGCACCACGGCGGACCGCCUUUGUCUCCCAAAUGGCGGUGUUUACUGGUACUCAUUUUAGGCCGAGUCUUAAGUGCUAGUGUUCGUAAGUCAGGUGUUCCUAAGUCGGGUGUUCGUAAGUCGAGGGCUUCCUGUAAUUUUCAUUUCACAGGUCCAGCUGAUUUUAACCAGAAACCGAUAACCUAUGGCACUGGUAAUGACCUAUAACAACUGCAUAUAGCCUCUAAACUAGAUUAAAGAAACAUCUGUGGUUCAUGUGGUGGAUGGAGCUGAACAGGGCCAACUGGUGGAGGGGCGAGGCCAAGGGAAGGAGUGGGGACAGCCUCUGGAGAGAGAGGCAACAAGGGAGACACGUGUGUGAGUUAUGUCACAGAUUAUGAAUCGGCUCACAUAAGCCGGUGUGUUUUCGCAGCAUUAAUUUGAGUAGUUCUCAACGUACAGAGUCGAAAGAUAACUCAUUUUGACCGUAUUAAUCCAGCUGGCUGUGGUAUUAAAUGUGAACUUUGUACAACGUAUGAAUUUUAUCUCAGAUUAAAAAAUAUAUAAUCCAGUGCGUGACACAGGUAGGGUGUUUGAUGGCAAUCUGAAACACCCACCAUAAUCAUCCAUGGGGGUCUUUGGAAUUGCACAUUGCCUAUGUUAUGACUCUUGACCUAGAUAAAAAAAAGCAAGUCACGUGCUGCAGUGCAAUGACUACUCAGCGACAAUUCGUAAAUAACAAACUGUGGGCUUAAAAGUCUUUAUUUUUUAAUACGCGACAUUGGUCAAUUGCUCUUCUUCAUAGCGCGUGAAGCCAACACGUGCGUCAACAACAUUGCCGCAGCACCCCCUGCUGGACUAAACUCGCUACUGUGCCGCGGUGACAAUACUCAUUAGACGGCCACAAGCGAGUGGUGUCAAGUGUGAUCAUGAUGAUUAUUAUGAGGCUUGUUUACCCAGGAAAGCCUCACUGCAGGCGCGACACGUCCAUGUAGGCUAUCUAGGCGGUCGUCUAGGGCGUAAAGUUAAGUGGGGUGCCAAAUUCGAGGAAAAAAUAAUUUCUCAACAUUUCUGACGAUUGAUUGGACAGACGGACAGACAACCCGAAUAAUUAUGCCUCUUUAAAAAA